rnacentral:rRNA from 1 species
UGCCAGACUCCUACGGGAGGCAGCAGUGGGGGAUAUUGCACAAUGGGGGGAACCCUGAUGCAGCGACGCCGCGUGGGUGAAGGAGUAUUUCGGUAUGUAAAGCCCUAUCGGCAGGGAAGAAACCAGACGGUACCUGACUAAGAAGCCCCGGCUAACUACGUGCCAGCAGCCGCGGGAAUACGUAGGGGGCAAGCGUUAUCCGGACUCACUGGGUGUAAAGGGAGCGUAGACGGCCAUGCAAGCCAGGGGUGAAAGCCCGGGGCCCAACCCCGGGACUGCCCUUGGAACUGCAUGGCUGGAGUGCGGGAGGGGCAGGCGGAAUUCCUGGUGUAGCGGUGAAAUGCGUAGAUAUCAGGAGGAACACCGGCGGCGAAGGCGGCCCGCUGGACCGCAACUGACGUUGAGGCUCGAAAGCGUGGGGAGCAAACAGGAUUAGAUACCCGCGUA